rnacentral:rRNA from 1 species
GAUGAACGCUGGCGGCGUGCCUAAUACAUGCCAGUCGAGCGAACAGACGAGGAACUUGCUCCUCUGACGUUAGCGGCGGACGGGGGAGUAACACGUGUAUAACCUAACUAUAAGACUGGGAUAACUUCGGGAAACCGGAGCUAAUACCGGAAAAUAUAUUGAACCACAUGGUUCAAUAGUGAAAGACGGUGUUGCUGUCGCUUAUAGAUUGAUCCGCUCCCCAUUAGCUAGUUGGUAAGGUAACGGCUUACCAAGGCAACGAUGCGUAGCCGACCUGAGAGGGUGAUCCGCCACACUGGAACUGAGACACGGCCCAGACUCCUACGGGAGGCAGCAGUAGGGAAUCUUGCGCAAUGGGCGCAAGCCUGACGGAGCAACGCCGCGUGAGUGAUGAAGGUCUUCGGAUUGUAAAAGUCUGUUAUUAGGGAAGAAAAAAUGUGUAAGUAACCCUGCACCUCUUGACGGUACCUUAUCAGAAAGCCACGGCUAACUACGUG